rnacentral:rRNA from 1 species
AACGCUAGCUACAGGCUUAACACAUGCAAGUCGAGGGGAAACGAUAGAGAAAGCUUGCUUUUUCUAGGCGUCGACCGGCGCACGGGUGAGUAACGCGUAUCCAACCUGCCCAUCACUUGGGGAUAACCUUGCGAAAGUAAGACUAAUACCCAAUGAUAUCUCUAGAAGACAUCUGAAAGAGAUUAAAGAUUUAUCGGUGAUGGAUGGGGAUGCGUCUGAUUAGCUUGUUGGCGGGGUAACGGCCCACCAAGGCGACGAUCAGUAGGGGUUCUGAGAGGAAGGUCCCCCACAUUGGAACUGAGACACGGUCCAAACUCCUACGGGAGGCAGCAGUGAGGAAUAUUGGUCAAUGGACGAGAGUCUGAACCAGCCAAGUAGCGUGCAGGAUGACGGCCCUAUGGGUUGUAAACUGCUUUUAUAAGGGAAUAAAGUGAGAGUCGUGACUCUUUUUGCAUGUACCUUAUGAAUAAGGACCGGCUAAUUCCGUGCCAGCAGCCGCGGUAAUACGGAAGGUCCGGGCGUUAUCCGGAUUUAUUGGGUUUAAAGGGAGCGUAGGCCGGAGAUUAAGCGUGUUGUGAAAUGUAGACGCUCAACGUCUGCACUGCAGCGCGAACUGGUUUCCUUGAGUACGCACAAAGUGGGCGGAAUUCGUGGUGUAGCGGUGAAAUGCUUAGAUAUCACGAAGAACUCCGAUUG